CAGUCGCGUUCUCUGGGAUUCAGCCUUGCUUCUUGCUUGGUGCAUUUCCUAGUCUACGGGCCAGCAUGAAUCUUGAGCGGUGGAAAAGGGUUUGGGGAAUGUGGCACCUCCGGGUGUGUUAUAGCCUUUGGUAGAUGUGAUGAUCGGGAUUGAGGAUUGCAACGGAUACCCUUCGGGGCUACUCGUCUGAUCUCUGAUUGUUGCUCUGGUGCUGAAAGCUUGCUUAUGGCUAUCAGAAUCGAUGGUCAA
rnacentral:rRNA from 1 species